UACUAGUUCUGCAACUAGUUACGCGGGAAGCGAACGCGGACCAGUCGAAAAAGAACCGAAAAACGAAGCCGCCUUCGGUUUGUUUUUGAAGGCGGCAAAUAACCGCAAUUCCGUGGAGUUACAGUGCCCACUCAGCUAGUUUUUACAGAGCCACGACAUGCAAUAAGCACCGAAAUGGUACGUGCAAAUAUAUAUUAUAUAUUUCAAAUAAAAUGAUGAGCAAAAGGCAUUUGCGUAGACUCCGUAAGAGUGAAAGGGAAGCUAACAUUGCAAAGUUAGCGUUGUGCAGGAAAGAUAACAGAUAACAGCAAUGAAAUCGAUUCUCCAGCCAGCUGGCGUUUUGAGCGGCUUAAACUUUAUUUUGAGUGAGGAAAUUGUUCUAGCCUAUAACGUCGAUGGGGUCCAAGGGAAGAAGGCCCUUAGGACCCACAAAGAAUUUUUUGCAGCUUUGCUAGAAUGUAUUCCGCCUGGCGAUGAGCCCCCCGAAAACACUGUGCGGAAGGCAAUGCAAAGGAUGAAGAAAAGGGUGUUUAAGAAGAAGUGUCUUGCCAAAAACCAGGAGUAGGCUAAACAUCAUAUAAUUAAAAAUUAUUCGUUAUAAUGAAAGACAUUGUGUUUUUAUUUUUGUAUUAUUCCAGACUGCCAGAUUGACUACUACCAAUAGUCAGUUCGGAACUAGUUACUGGUAACUAGGUCAGAGCUAGCUACAAGUAAUCGAAGGGUAGUCGAGUGGGGAACUAGUUGCUGGCUUUCUACUGGUAACUAGUUCGGUAACUCCUGAGCAACUAGCUACGGGUAAUCGAAGGGUAAUCGAGCGGGAGUGGUUCCGCCCUAGGACAUGCAUGUGUUAAAUUCUCCGCUGAAAUACAUUGCGGGUAAUCGAUCUGGAACCAGGGAGGUGAGAAUGGUAGCUAGUGCGGCACCAGUGCGGAACUAGUGGCCUGGUACUAGAGGGUAGUUAUUGGUGCUGCCGCUGCCACCGCUAUAGGCGGUGGUGGAAGUGGAAGAUUUGGUGUUACGAUGCAAUUCUCGGACCAAGCUUUGCGGGGUGGCAACCAGAACGUAGAGAAGAGCAAUACAAGGCACGGCACG